GACGAACGCUGGCGGCGUGCCUAAUACAUGCAAGUCGAACGCAGUGGGGACGGGUGAGUAACACGUGGGUAACCUCCCAUCAGAGGGGAUAACACUUGGAAACAGGUGCUAAACCGAUACUGAUGGAUGGACCCGCGGUGCAUUAGCUAGUUGGUGAGGUAACGGCUCACCAAGGCCACGAUGCAUAGCCGACCUGAUAGGGUGAUCGGCCACACUGGGACUGAGACACGGUCAAGAUUCCUCCGGGAGUCAGCAGUGGGGAAUAUUGGACGAUGGGCGAACGCCGGAGCCAGCCAUGCCGCGUGUGUGAAGAAGGGCUUCGGAUUGUAAAGCACUUUCAGUUGGGAGGCGUUACCAACAGAAUAAGCACCGGCUAACUUCGUGCCAGCAGCCGCGGUAAUUC
rnacentral:rRNA from 1 species